rnacentral:rRNA from 1 species
AUACGUAGGGAGCGAGCGUUGUCCGGAAUUACUGGGUGUAAAGGGAGCGUAGGCGGGAGUGCAAGUCAGAUGUGAAAUACAUGGGCUCAACCCAUGGGCUGCAUUUGAAACUGCAUUUCUUGAGUGAAGUAGAGGUAAGCGGAAUUCCAGGUGUAGCGGUGAAAUGCGUAGAUAUCAGGAGGAACACCGGUGGCGAAGGCGGCUUACUGGGCUUUUAACGACGCUUAGGCUCGAAAGCGUGGGGAGCAAAUAGGAUUAGAUACCCUGGUAGUCCACGCUGUAAACGAUGAUUACUAGGUGUGGGGGGACUGACCCCUUCCGUGCCGCAGUUAACACAAUAAGUAAUCUACCUGGGGAGUUCGGCCGCAAGGUUGAAACUUAAAGGAAUUGACGGGG